ensembl:lncRNA
UAGCAUCCAGUUCACUAAGUCCUGUUAAGCUCCACUAAAUUUUGAACUAGUUUUUUUUUUUUAGUAACAUUGAUAAGAAAAUCAUUCACCCAGUAAGGACACAGUUUAGAAGUUCUUAUGGAUGUAGGCACCACAUAGUUUACUCUUAAGUACAGAUAUCAAGCAAAUUAUUCUUUUUAAUCAGCUGUGAGUUUUUGAGAGCAAAGAAAUGCUCAUUCUCUUUGGCAUUCCACACUGAAGCUAAUAUUUAUAGUACAUGUAAUGAUUUACUUCAGCUUUUCUUUUAUCUCAAUCAUUCAAGUAUCACUCUUAGUGGUUUUUGCUUUAUCUGUGCACAAUCUGUACUCUUAUUAAAUGUUUUCAUUUUUUAAAUAAAAAAUCUUUUAAAGUGAAAUAUAACUCUAAGAUUAAAAAUUAAGAACACAAAAUAAUGUUAUGAAAUAUUUUAAAGUGAAAUUAAGAUUCAGUACAAGUAAUAGUAAGCUAGUAUGUGCAUGCAUGUGUAUGCAUGCUCAGUUAUGUUCAACUCUUUGUGACCCUGUGGAGUGUAGCCUGCCAGUGUUCUUGCCUGGAGAAUCCCAGGGAUGGGGGAGCCUGGUGGGCUGCCGUCUCUGGGGUCGCACAGAGUCGGACACGACUAAAGCGACUUAGCAGCAGCAGCAGCAGCAAGCUUCAAGGAAUAAUGAAUCUGAGCUCGUAGCUGAAGCCAAGGGAUAGAAUAUGCAGUAAGAGAAAGAGAAGAGGGAAUUAUGUUGUUUAUUGGCGCCCUUCCUCCCCCAUGUCAAAUAAUUUAUGUAUAUUAUUCCAUGAAGUCUUCAGAACCAAUCUGCAAGGCAGGUGUUCCCCCCACACGACAGAUGAAGAAAUAGGCUCAGAGUGAUUGAAUGUCUUAUUAAAGGUCACAGAGAUUGAAAACGUCAGAGCCUUGAGGUGUUACCUCUAGUUGUUUGUGACUCAAAGAAAAAGUUGAUGAGAGCUCCUGGAUUCUAGAGUAGGAAUGUGGGUUUAAUAAAGGUUUCUCUAUUUCCUUGGCAGAGAGCAGUCUGAUUCCCUGGAUCAGGCUCUAGAAUAACCACAGGACUGACCCAGGAUGUGUCUGGAUUCCUUAGACUCACAUAAUU